rnacentral:rRNA from 1 species
UAACACGUGGGAAACCUGGCCAGAAGCGCGGGGAAAACACCUGGAAACAGAUGGAUAUACCGCAAAACAACUUGGACCGCAAGGUCCGAGGUUGAAAGAUGGCUUCGGCUAUUAGUUUUGGAUGGUCCCGCGGCGUAAUAACUAGAUUGUGGGGUAACGGCUCACCAUGGGCAUGAAACGUAACCCACCUGAAAGGGUAAUCGGCCACAUUGGGACUGAAACACGGCCCAAACUCCUACGGGAGGCAGCAGUAGGGAAUCUUCCACAAUGGACGAAAGUCUGAAGGAACAACGCCCCGUGAGUGAAAAAAGGUUUCGGCUCGUAAAACUCUUUUGUUAAAAAAGAACAUAUCUGAGAAUAACUGUUCGGGUAUUGACGGUGUUUAACCAGAAAGCCACGGCAACUACGUGCCAGCAGCCGCGGUAAUACGUAAGUGGCAAGCCAAGUCCGGAUUUAUUGGGCGGAAAGCCAGCGCACGCCGUUUUUUAAGUCUGAUGUGAAAGCCUUCGGCUCAACCCAAGAAGUGCAUCGGAAACUGGGAAACUUGAGUGCAGAAGAAGACAGUGGAACUCCAUGUGUAGCGGUGAAAUGGCUAGAUAUAUGGAAGAACACCAGUGGGCAAGGCCGGUGUCUGGUCUGUAACUGACCUGAAGCUCGGAAGUAUGGGUAGCCGACGGGAGGGGG